AAGUGACGCGAGGCUCUGCGGAGACCAGGAGUCAGACUGUAGGACGACCUCGGGUCCCACGUGUCCCCGGUACUCGCCGGCCGGAGCCCCCGGCUUCCCGGGGCCGGGGGACCUUAGCGGCACCCACACACAGCCUACUUUCCAAGCGGAGCCAUGUCUGGUAACGGCAAUGCGGCUGCAACGGCGGAAGAAAACAGCCCAAAGAUGAGAGUGAUUCGCGUGGGUACCCGCAAGAGCCAGCUUGCUCGCAUACAGACGGACAGUGUGGUGGCAACAUUGAAAGCCUCGUACCCUGGCCUGCAGUUUGAAAUCAGUGAGUUUUCUGGAAAGGAGUGGAAGCUAAUGGGAAGCCCAGUACCCCGAGAGGAGAGAACACAACAUUUCUGGCUUUGCCUAUAGCUAAAGCCCGUCCCGCUGCCCCGAGAUUCCUUCUGGGCUGCUCCCAGUUCUGAAGGUGCUUUCCUCUGAAUACCUCCAGCUCUGACUACCUGGAUUAGCCUGGCAUUUAACAUCUUGAGCUUUGGGUCUUUUUAUGAGUGUUUCUGGUCUUCCUGCUCGAUUGUAUAUACUCAGAGGGCAGG
rnacentral:lncRNA from 10 species